CAUCCAACCUGUUAAAUGAUGUAGGUCUUUCCAUCAUUCAUCCAACCUGUUAAAUGAUGUAGGUCUUUCCAUCAUUCAUCCAACCUGUUAAAUGAUGUAGGUCUUUCCAUCAUUCACCCAACCUGUUAAAUGAUGUAGGUCUUUCCAUCAUUCAUCCAACCUGUUAAAUGAUGUAGGUCUUUCCAUCAUUCAUCCAACCUGUUAAAUGAUGUAGGUCUUUCCAUCAUUCAUCCAACCUGUUAAAUGAUGUAGGUCUUUCCAUCAUUCACCCAACCUGUUAAAUGAUGUAGGUCUUUCCAUCAUUCAUCCAACCUGUUAAAUGAUGUAGGUCUUUCCAUCAUUCACCCAACCUGUUAAAUGAUGUAGGUCUUUCCAUCAUUCAUCCAACCUGUUAAAUGAUGUAGGUCUUUCCAUCAUUCAUCCAACCUGUUAAAUGAUGUAGGUCUUUCCAUCAUUCAUCCAACCUGUUAAAUGAUGUAGGUCUUUCCAUCAUUCACCCAACCUGUUAAAUGAUGUAGGUCUUUCCAUCAUUCAUCCAACCUGUUAAAUGAUGUAGGUCUUUCCAUCAUUCAUCCAACCUGUUAAAUGAUGUAGGUCUUUCCAUCAUUCACCCAACCUGUUAAAUGAUGUAGGUCUUUCCAUCAUUCAUCCAACCUGUUAAAUGAUGUAGGUCUUUCCAUCAUUCAUCCAACCUGUUAAAUGAUGUAGGUCUUUCCAUCA